rnacentral:rRNA from 1 species
AUUGAACGCUGGCGGCAUGCCUUACACAUGCAAGUCGAACGGCAGCACGGGAGCAAUCCUGGUGGCGAGUGGCGAACGGGUGACGUAAUGUAUCGGAACGUACCUUUCAGUGGGGGAUAACGUAGCGAAAGUUACGCUAAUACCGCAUAAUUCUGUGAGCAGGAAAGCAGGGGAUCGCAAGACCUUGCGCUGAUUGAGCGGCCGAUAUCAGAUUAGCUAGUUGGUGAGGUAAAGGCUCACCAAGGCGACGAUCUGUAGCGGGUCUGAGAGGGAUGAUCCGCCACGACUGGAACUGAGACACGGU